GGAAUGCAAGAGUGGAUUCCAAAGAAGAGGUUUCCUCUAAUCACUCUUAUUCCGAAGAAGAACCAGUGGCUGAUAAUCCUCCGAUUCCACCUCCUUCAUCUCCAAAAAUACUCCUAGGUGACUAUAGAGGUGCAAACACGUCGGGUGGUAGACUGACCAUUAUCAAUCAUUUGGUGAAUGUGAUGAAUUUUCAACUGCAUCCUAGCACAAUCAAUCAACUUGAGAGAAAACCUUUCACCUAAAGGUUAAUGAAG
rnacentral:lncRNA from 1 species